AUUGAACGCUGGCGGAAUGCUUUACACAUGCAAGUCGAACGGCAGCACGGACUUCGGUCUGGUGGCGAGUGGCGAACGGGUGAGUAAUGUAUCGGAACGUGCCCAGUCGUGAGGGAUAACGUAGUGAAAAUUACGCUAAUACCGCAUACGAUCUAUGAAUGAAAGCGGGGGAUCGCAAGACCUCGCGCGAUUGGAGCGGCCGAUAUCAGAUUAGGUAGUUGGUGGGGUAAAGGCCCACCAAGCCAACGAUCUGUAGCUGGUCUGAGAGGACGACCAGCCACACUGGAUCUGAGACACGGUCCAGACUCCUACGGGAGGCAGCAGUGGGGAAUUUUGGACAAUGGGCAAAGCCUGAUCCAGCCAUUCCGCGUGCAGGAUGAAGGCCCUCGGGUUGUAAACUGCUUUUGUACAGAACGAAAAGGUUUCUACUAAUACUAGGAGCUCAUGACGGUACUGUAAGAAUAAGCACCGGCUAACUACGUGCCAGCAGCCGCGGUAA
rnacentral:rRNA from 1 species